rnacentral:tRNA from 1 species
UAGCUCAGCUGGUAGAGCACCUGCUUUGCACGCAGGGGGUCAGGAGUUCGAAUCUCCUAACCUCCACCA